rnacentral:rRNA from 4 species
GUUUCCGUAGGUGAACCUGCGGAAGGAUCAUUAUU